AAAGGAAUAGACGGGGGCCCGCACAAGCAGCGGAGCAUGUGGUUUAAUUCGAAGCAACGCGAAGAACCUUACCAGGGCUUGACAUCCCUCUGACGUACUUAGAGAUAAGUAUUUUCUUCGGGACAGAGGAGACAGGUGGUGCAUGGUUGUCGUCAGCUCGUGUCGUGAGAUGUUGGGUUAAGUCCCGCAACGAGCGCAACCCUCAUUUUCAGUUGCCAGCAAUAAGAUGGGCACUCUGGAGAGACUGCCGGGGACAACUCGGAGGAAGGUGGGGACGACGUCAAAUCAUCAUGCCCCUUAUGUCCUGGGCUACACACGUGCUACAAUGGUCAGAAACAAAGGGAAGCGAAGCGGUAACGUGGAGCGAAUCCCAGAAACCUGAUCUCAGUUCGGAUUGUGGGCUGCAACUCGCCCACAUGAAGUCGGAGUUGCUAGUAAUCGCGAAUCAGCAUGUCGCGGUGAAUACGUUCCCGGGCCUUGUACACACCGCCCGU
rnacentral:rRNA from 1 species